GAUGAACGCUGGCGGCGUGCCUAAUACAUGCAAGUCGAGCGAACAGAUAAGGAGCUUGCUCCUUUGACGUUAGCGGCGGACGGGUGAGUAACACGUGGGUAACCUACCUAUAAGACUGGGAUAACUUCGGGAAACCGGAGCUAAUACCGGAUAACAUUUGGAACCGCAUGGUUCUAAAGUGAAAGAUGGUUUUGCUAUCACUUAUAGAUGGACCCGCGCCGUAUUAGCUAGUUGGUAAGGUAACGGCUUACCAAGGCGACGAUACGUAGCCGACCUGGGAGGGUGAUCGGCCACACUGGAACUGAGACACGGUCCAGACUCCUACGGGAGGCAGCAGUAGGGAAUCUUCCGCAAUGGGCGAAAGCCUGACGGAGCAACGCCGCGUGAGUGAUGAAGGGUUUCGGCUCGUAAAACUCUGUUAUUAGGGAAGAACAAACGUGUAAGUAACUGUGCACGUCUUGACGGUACCUAAUCAGAAAGCCACGGCUAACUACGUG
rnacentral:rRNA from 1 species